AAACCAACCGGGAUUGCCUCAGUAACGGCGAGUGAAGCGGCAAAAAGCUCAAAUUUGAAAUCUGGCACUUUCAGUGUCCGAGUUGUAAUUUGUAGAAGUAGUUUUGGGACUGGUCCUUAUCUAUGUUUCUUGGAACAGGACGUCAUAGAGGGUGAGAACCCCGUAUGAUGAGGCCCCCAGUCCUUUGUAAAACGCUUUCGAAGAGUCGAGUUGUUUGGGAAUGCAGCUCUAAGUGGGUGGUAAAUUCCAUCUAAAGCUAAAUAUUGGCGAGAGACCGAUAGCGAACAAGUACAGUGAUGGAAAGAUGAAAAGAACUUUGAAAAGAGAGUGAAAAAGUACGUGAAAUUGUUGAAAGGGAAGGGCAUUUGAUCAGACAUGGUGUUUUGCGCCCUUUGCUCCUUGUGGGCGGAGGAUACGCAGCUCACUGGGCCAACAUCAGUUUUGGGAGCAGGAUAAAUCUGUAGGAACGUAGCUUUACUUCGGGAAUGUUAUAGCCUACGGGAAUCUGCUACCUGGGA
rnacentral:rRNA from 1 species